GGAGAGGGGAUGGAGGAGGUCUCAGGUCCUCUUGCUCACCCAUCAGCUGUGUAGUGUCUGAAGUGAUUAAGGAGCUUGGGGAGGCCUCCCAGGCUGGUGUGCUCCACUGGCCCUCAGAAAGACUUGUCGCCUCACCAAGCCUCAGUGUUCUCAUCUGAAGAAUAGAGCGGGCAAGGCCUUUCUCCUACAUACUCAGAAUGUUGGAAGCCAAGCUUGCACAUUCUAGGCAGCCAUUUGGAAGAUUCUUCUCUGUGCAUGACCAGCUGAAAAGGAAAAACCCCGAAACAUUGGCACUGUGAUUUCUCCAUGUGAACAGUUUAGUUCGCCGAGGUGGACAUGCCUCAUUCAUGCUUAUGGAGUGACCGACCAGCCUUUAGUGACACCCCCUGAAAUGUGAGUCAUCCAUGGGUCACUAGUCAUUGGAGAAGAGCCCCUCACACAAAAAUUGGAGCUCAGACCACAAACAACAACAACAAUCCAAAAAAUAAAAAAAUGAAAAAUUAGGAGCAGAGACUAAAUGGAA